rnacentral:rRNA from 1 species
UACGUAGGGGGCAAGCGUUGUCCGGAUUUAUUGGGCGUAAAGAGCGUGUAGGCGGUUUGGUAGGUCCGCUGUGAAAACUCGAGGCUCAACCUCGAGACGCCGGUGGAAACCGUUUGGCUAGAGUCCGGAAGAGGAGAGUGGAAUUCCCGGUGUAGCGGUGAAAUGCGCAGAUAUCGGGAAGAACACCCGUGGCGAAGGCGGCUCUCUGGGACGGUACUGACGCUGAGACGCGAAAGCGUGGGGAGCGAACAGG